AGUGAACGCUGGCGGCGUGCUUAACACAUGCAAGUCGAACGAGAACGGAUUAUAGCUUGCUAUAAUUGUCAGCUAAGUGGCGCACGGGUGAGUAAUGUAUAGGUAAUAUGCCUCUUACUAAGGGAUAACAAAUGGAAACGUUUGCUAAUACCUUAUACUCCUUAUUAACAGAAGUUAAUAAGGGAAAGAUUUAUUGGUAAGAGAUUAGCCUGUAUUGUAUCAGUUAGUUGGUGGGGUAAUGGCUUACCAAGACUAUGACACAUAACUGGUUUGAGAGGAUGAUCAGUCACACUGGAACUGAGACACGGUCCAGACUCCUACGGGAGGCAGCAGUGGGGAAUAUUGCACAAUGGACGAAAGUCUGAUGCAGCAACGCCGCGUGGAGGAUGACACAUUUCGGUGCGUAAACUCCUUUUAUAUGAGAAGAUAAUGACGGUAUUAUAUGAAUAAGCACCGGCUAACUCCGUGCCAGCCGCCGCCGUAA
rnacentral:rRNA from 1 species